rnacentral:rRNA from 1 species
GACGAACGCUGGCGGCGUGCUUAACACAUGCAAGUCGAACGGAAAGGCCCUGCUUUUGUGGGGUGCUCGAGUGGCGAACGGGUGAGUAACACGUGAUUAACCUGCCCUUGACUUUGGGAUAACUUCAGGAAACUGGGGCUAAUCCCGGAUAGGAGCUCCUGCUGCAUGGUGGGGGUUGGAAAGUUUCGGCGGUUGGGGAUGGACUCGCGGCUUUUCAGCUUGUUGGUGGGGUAGUGGCUUACCAAGGCUUUGACGGGUAGCCGGCCUGAGAGGGUGACCGGCCACAUUGGGACUGAGAUACGGCCCAGACUCCUACGGGAGGCAGCAGUGGGGAAUAUUGCACAAUGGGCGGAAGCCUGAUGCAGCAACGCCGCGUGCGGGAUGACGGCCUUCGGGUUGUAAACCGCUUUCGCCUGUGACGAAGCGUGAGUGACGGUAAUGGGUAAAGAAGCACCGGCUAACUACGUG